rnacentral:lncRNA from 13 species
AUGGUCAGGCGAGGAGGCUGUUUUAAACGGCAGAGCCCGCUGGCCAAUCAGGCGGCUCUCGUGGAGGCAGCUAGCGCGAGGCUGGGGAGCGCUGAGCAGCGCGUCGUGCCCUGCGCUGUCCAGACUAGCGAACAAUACAGGUACGUCUCGCACCACCCGCGCCCGCCGCUGCCACCGGCGCCACCGCCGCCACAGCCGCCACAGCCGCAGCGCCCGCACAACUUUCCAGCCCGCGCCGCCGCGAGCGCGCCCGGCCGCCACCUCCUCCUACCUCUCCUCCCCGCUCCCCUCCCGCCCCCUCCGCCUUCCCUCCUGCUAGGCGCCCGGGAAGGAAGAAGCAAUUCAGGUGUUUCAACUUUUCCAACGCGUUCUCCGAGGUCCCCGCUUUCGGGGGUCGGUUCCCUCGGCGGACGCCCUCCCGUGGCGCCCCAGGGGCCGCAGCUAGUAACCCAGGGUCCCCGAGGCCAGAUGUUCGGGCAGCUGCGGCUCCGGCGGCUGGGCGAGCAGAGGGGCGGCUGCGGGCUAUGGGCUCUGGGCUCUGGGCUCGGGCGGUGCGCGUCCCGGCGCUGGGCGGCGGCAGGGGGCCGGGAGCUCCCCGGCCCGCGACGGACUCAGAGGGGGGCGGGCGGCCGGUGCCCGCCGGGGGCAGCCGCGCGGGCAAACUUCGCUCCCGGGCUCGGCCCGGCGCCGCGCCGGCCAGCGGGUUGCGCCGCUGGCUCUGCGUUAACAUGGCCGUCGCGGAGCACCCGCCGGCCCGGGGGGGCGCGGGCCGGCCGCCCCACUCUCGCCUCCCGCCCGCUGGGCGCCGCCGCCGCCGUUAACAUGGCUGGCGCGGCGGUGGCCUCCGGCGAAGGCAGGGGAGGCGAGCGGAGUGGGCGGCGGGGCGCCCGGCGGGCUCUAGCCUCGGCUCCGGCGCCCGCGGCCCGGGGCGGGCGGCGUGGAGGGCUGGGGGCGCUGCCGCGGGCCCUGGAGCGGCCGAGCGUCAUGGCUGCAUGGGCGCCUUUGUUAUCCCGACGAGUGCGCCCCGCGCCAGGGGGCGGGGAGGUCCGGCCCCGGGCCCCGAGACCCGGGCUGCCCGGGCGGGGCCGGGAGGGGUGGGGGCCGGCGGGCGGGCUGCGGCGGCGGCGGCGGCGGCGGAGCCCGGGCCGCUUUGUUCGCUGCCGCCGCCGCCGCCGUCGUCGCCGCCGUCGCCCGCGCCGGCCGCGCGCGGAUCAGCCAUUUUAG